rnacentral:rRNA from 1 species
UACGUAGGACCCAAGCGUUAUCCGGAUUGACUGGGCGUAAAGAGUUGCGUAGGUGGUAAUUUAAGCGAAUAGUGAAAUCUUGUGGCUCAACCAUAAGGCUAUUAUUCGAACUGGGUUACUCGAGAGUGGAAGAGGUAUCUGGAAUUUCUAAUGUAGGGGUAAUAUCCGUAGAUAUUAGAAGGAACACCAAUGGCGUAGGCAGGAUACUGGUCCAUUUCUGACACUAAUGCACGAAAGCGUGGGGAGCGAACAGG